rnacentral:rRNA from 1 species
UCGAACGAGGUCCAUCCAGUGGCAACACUGGUGAAGACCGAGUGGCGAACGGGUGAGUAACACGUGAGGAACCUACCCCGGUCUCUGGAAUAACAGGUGGAAACACCUGCUAAUACCGGAUGCCGUCGGAGCACCACCUGGUGCACUGACGAAAGAUUCAUCGGAUCGGGAGGGCCUCGCGGCCUAUCAGCUUGUUGGUGGGGUAACGGCCUACCAAGGCGUCGACGGGUAGCUGGUCUGAGAGGAUGAUCAGCCACACUGGGACUGAGACACGGCCCAGACUCCUACGGGAGGCAGCAGUGGGGAAUCUUGCGCAAUGGGCGAAAGCCUGACGCAGCAACGCCGCGUGCGGGAAGAAGGCUCUCGGGUUGUAAACCGCUUUCAGAAGGAACGAAACUGACGGUACUUUCAGAAGAAGGUGCGGCCAACUACGUGCCAGCAGCCGCGGUGACACGUAGGCACCAAGCGUUGUCCGGAUUUAUUGGGCGUAAAGAGCUCGUAGGCGGUUCAGUAAGUCGGGUGUGAAAACUCUGGGCUCAACCCAGAGAUGCCACCCGAUACUGCUGUGACUUGAGUACGGUAGGGGAGCAGGGAAUUCCUGGUGUAGCGGUGAAAUGCGCAGAUAUCAGGAGGAACACCGGUGGCGAAGGCGCUGCUCUGGGCCGAAACUGACGCUGAGGAGCGAAAGCGUGGGUAACAAACAGGAUUAGAUACCCUGGUAGUCCACGCCGUAAACGUUGGGCACUAGGUGUGGGCUCUAACCAACGGAGUCCGCGCCGUCGCUAACGCAUUA